rnacentral:rRNA from 1 species
UACGAAGGGAGCAGGUGUUAUUCAGAUUAACUGGGCGUAAAGGGCCAGUAGGCGGCCAACUAAGUCGGAUGUGAAAUCCCCAGGCUUAACCGGGGAACUGCGUCUGAUACUGGAUGGCUUGAGUUCGGGAGAGGGAUGCGGAAUUCCAGGUGUAGCGGUGAAAUGCGUAGAUAUCUGGAGGAACACCGGUGGCGAAGGCGGCAUCCUGGACCGACACUGACGCUGAGGAGCGAAAGCCAGGGGAGCAAACGGG